rnacentral:rRNA from 1 species
CCUACGGGGGGCAGCAGUCGAGAAUCAUUCACAAUGGGGGAAACCCUGAUGGUGCGACGCCGCGUGGGGGAAUGAAGGUCUUCGGAUUGUAAACACCUGUCAUGUGGGAGCAAAUUAAAAAGAUAGUACCACAAGAGGAAGAGACGGCUAACUCGGUGCCAGCAGCCGCGGUAAUACAGAGGUCUCAAGCGUUGUUCGGAAUCACUGGGCGUAAAGCGUUCGUAGGCUGUUUCGUAAGUCGUGGGUGAAAGGCGCGGGCUAAACCGGCGGACGGCACAUGAUACUGCGAGACUAGAGUAAUGGAGGGGGAGUCGGAAUUCUCGGGGUAGGAGUGAAAUGGGUAG